ACGGAGAAGGAAAAAGCAGACAUUGAUUUGAGUGGAUGAACUCUUAGAAAAAUAAGUCACAAGAGCAUUGGUGGGAGUGGGGGUAGGGAUGGGGGUGGAGGGGGCAGGAGAAGCCCACUAGGAACCCCUCCUUUACAGAGAGCUGUUGGGAUUCUUUAGAGACUGGAGUCAUCUAACCAAGAAAUAUGCCCUUGAGUCUGUGGCUUUUCCUUUUUCUUCUCCUUGACACCCUUCCUCUUGCAUUUUCAGGGCAACUCCAGCCAAAUCUGCUAUUUAUAGAGCAGGAACAAUUAUACCACAGGGUGCUGGUGUUUAAUUUGAAGAGGCCUCAAAGAGUGAAGGGCAGAUGGCUGUGGCUCUCAGUGACCUUGACGGGGGCACCCAAGCCCACGGACUCAUCCUGAAUUGUGUUCAUCAAGUCCUGAGUGGAUGAAGCUCUGGGGAAGAAAGGGCCUUGAGUCUGCUUUGGACUGGAACUAUACCAUUGGCUUUGCAUCCAGAUUGCUGACUGCAGAUGUUGGUGAUUAUUAGCCUCCAUAGUCAUAGACCACUGACGAAUCACAGAGGAUCGGAAAGGAUCUCCAUGCCCACGUGUGUAUGAGCGCGCGCGCGCACGAACCCCUGGAGUACAAGGUUUGCUGAAAGCCGCAAUGAGAGAUCAUUUAACCAGAAGGAAGGUGCGUACUCAGUGUCUUAGCCCUCUUAAUCUGGUCAUUCCGUUCUCAAACCUCCCUCCCAGGUAGUGGAUAGCCACACAGAGAUACGACACACAUGCACAACCCCCCCAUUUGAAUACAAGACACUUGCCCACGUGACAGAGAUCUCCGUCUACUCUUGGAAAAGUACAUGGUAUUCCGAGAUCCAAAUACAGCCUGGCUUUUGUACAA